UACGUAGGGUGCGAGCGUUAUCCGGAAUCAUUGGGCGUAAAGAGCUCGUAGGCGGUUCAACAAGUCGGCUGUGAAAGUCCGGGGCUCAACCCCGGAAUUGCAGUCGAUACUGUUGUGACUUGAGUCCGGUAGAGGAGAAUGGAAUUCCCGGUGUAGCGGUGGAAUGCGCAGAUAUCGGGAGGAACACCAGUAGCGAAGGCGGUUCUCUGGGCCGGCACUGACGCUGAGGAGCGAAAGCGUGGGGAGCAAACAGGAUUAGAUACCCCGGUAGU
rnacentral:rRNA from 1 species